rnacentral:rRNA from 1 species
GACCCUUCGGGGAGCUUGUACAGGUGCUGCAUGGCUGUCGUCAGCUCGUGUCGUGAGAUGUUCGGUUAAGUCCGCUAACGAGCGCAACCCUCGCUGUGUGUUACAAGUGUCACACGGAACUGCCGGUCAUAAACCGGAGGAAGGUGGGAUGACGUCAAGUCAGCAUGGCCUUUAUAUCCUGGGCUACACACACGCUACAAUGGGAAGGGACAAUAGGUUGCGAAGCCGCGAGGCGGAGCCAAUCCAGCAAAACUUCCCUCAGUUCAGAUUGCAGGCUGCCAACCCGCCUGCAUGAAGUUGGAGUUGCUAGUAAACGCAGGUCAGCCAUACUGCGUUGAAUACCGUUCCGGGGCUU